rnacentral:rRNA from 1 species
UACGAAGGGGGCUAGCGUUGCUCGGAAUCACUGGGCGUAAAGCGCACGUAGGCGGAUUGUUAAGUCAGGGGCUCAACCCCUGGAUGCGGGUGGAUACUGCUGGGCUAGAGUCCGGAAGAGGCGAGUGGAAUUCCUGGUGUAGCGGUGGAAUGCGCAGAUAUCAGGAAGAACACCAACGGCGAAGGCAGCUCGCUGGGACGGUACUGACGCUGAGGUGCGAAAGCGUGGGGAGCAAACAGG